ACGGGAGGCAGCAGUGGGGAAUAUUGCGCAAUGGGGGCAACCCUGACGCAGCAACGCCGCGUGAAGGAAGAAGGUCUUCGGAUUGUAAACUUUUGUCUUUGGUGAAGAUAGUGACGGUAGCCAAGGAGGAAGCCACGGCUAACUACGUGCCAGCAGCCGCGGUAAUACGUAGGUGGCAAGCGUUGUCCGGAUUUACUGGGUGUAAAGGGCGUGUAGACGGGUUAGCAAGUCAGAUGUGAAAUACCGCAGCUUAACUGCGGGGCUGCAUUUGAAACUGCGAAUCUUGAGUGCGGGAGAGGAAAGCGGAAUUCCUAGUGUAGCGGUGAAAUGCGUAGAUAUUAGGAGGAACACCAGUGGCGAAGGCGGCUUUCUGGACCGUAACUGACGUUGAGGCGCGAAAGCGUGGGUAGCAAACAGGAUUAGAUACCCUGGUA
rnacentral:rRNA from 1 species